rnacentral:rRNA from 1 species
GACGAACGCUGGCGGCGUGCCUAAUACAUGCAAGUCGAACGGAGUGGGGACGGGUGAGUAACAAGUGGGUAACCUACCAUAAGAGGAGAUAACACUUGGAAACAGGUGCUAAAGCGAUACGGAGUGAGGGAGCCGGGGUGGAUUAGCUAGUUGGUGGGGUAACGGCUCACCAAGGCCACGAUGCAUAGCUGGUCUGAGAGGGUGAUCGGCCACACUGGGACUGAGACACGGCCCAGACUCCUACGGGAGGCAGCAGUAGGGAAUCUUCGGCAAUGGGCGAAAGUCUGACCGAGCCAUGCCGCGUGUGUGAAGAAGGUCUUCGGAUCGUAAAGCUCUGUUAUUGGAGAAGCGUUAUCUACCCAGAAAGCCACGGCUAACUACGUGCCAGCAGCCGCGGUAAUUC